GUGUCAUAUCUCUCGAAAUGACUACUACUACGGUAGCUUCCAAGCUGGCCGAGAGCAAAGAGCGUUCUCCUAAUGUUCUUGUUCACUUAUUAACUGCGGCUUACACGUCCCCUUCAGAGGGUAUUCAACACAACUCAGAGGUUAUGGUUGUACUGGAAAAAUUAUACGGACAACAAUAUAGAAUUUGAGGAAUCGCAAGAGUCCACCCUGCCUGAUUAUGACCCGACGCAGAAGUGUACAUUUAUUAAGAAAUAUAACAUUAGCGAUAGAGACAUCUACUUCUGGUGGGCCACAAUGAUGGGCGACGAUAUGGUGCGAAAUGACUGCUACGGCAACUUCUCUUCAGAAGCUGGAGAAAGUCUUGGAUCUAUGGACUCUUGGGUCCUAUAUGAAGGAGAGACAUCCCCAUUUCAAAAAAUGAGGCUUAUGUAUAUGGAAAAGAACUGCAGCGUGUUUUUCGUUACUUAUCUCGACGAUGACGCUGACGCAGUUUGCGAACUAUACGUCCGAAAUAAAGCGAUUUCUCAAGGGCCAUCGAAGAAUUGCACGAAGUAUUACGACGAUUACUGCAAAAACAAGACUGUGGUAUACAACUCGACGUGUCCGACUGAAGUUGCUAAAGGAGUUCAAGAUAUAAAUAAAUGGAACAUUGGGCAGUAGACGAGCUAGGUUUGCGAACAGAGACUGUAGAAAAUAUCCUAUCGGGUAAGGAGUCAUCUGCGCAUUCAUACGGAUCUUGACACACAGAUACACAGCUUUACAAAAGUAGGCAAGAUAAACUAGGUCACAUGCUCCAAAAAUAAACUUGUGGUC
rnacentral:misc_RNA from 1 species